UAGGGAAUCUUCGGCAAUGGACGAAAGUCUGACCGAGCAACGCCGCGUGAGUGAAGAAGGUUUUCGGAUCGUAAAACUCUGUUGGUAGAGAAGAACGUUGGUGAGAGUGGAAAGCUCAUCAAGUGACGGUAACUACCCAGAAAGGGACGGCUAACUACGUGCCAGCAGCCGCGGUAAUACGUAGGUCCCGAGCGUUGUCCGGAUUUAUUGGGCGUAAAGCGAGCGCAGGUGGUUUAUUAAGUCUGGUGUAAAA
rnacentral:rRNA from 1 species